CCUACGGGUGGCAGCAGUGAGGAAUAUUGGUCAAUGGGCGAGAGCCUGAACCAGCCAAGUCACGUGCGGGAGUACUGCCCUAUGGGUUGUAAACUUCUUUUGUCGGGGAGCAAAAGCCGGACGUGUCCGGCUGUGAGAGUACCCGAAGAAAAAGCAUCGGCUAACUCCGUGUCAGCAGCCGCGGUAAUACGGAGGAUGCGAGCGUUAUUCGGUUUUUUUGGGUGUAAAGGGUGCGUCGGCGGAUUUUUAAGUCAGCGGUCAAAUCGUGGGGCUCAAACCCGUCCUGCUGUUGAAACUGGGGAUCUAGAGUGUGCGAGAGGUAUGCGGAAUGCGUGGUGUAGCGGUGAAAUGCAUAGAUAUCACGCAGAACCCCGAUUGCGAAGGCAGCAUACCGGUGCACAACUGACGCUCAGGCACGAAAGCGUGGGUAUCGAACAGGAUUAGAUACCCUAGUAGUC
rnacentral:rRNA from 1 species